GUGAGACCUCCAGAAAGGCCUCUCAGGAAAGCAACGGUGCAUGGCGACUCUUCGCCCCCUAGCCCAACUCCUUAUCUAUUUGCUCGCCUAUUCCUGUGUGUACUCAUGUUUGUACCUAUUGAUUUACUUUAUUAGCGUCUUUGUAAAGGACUAGGCAGCUGGGCUGGGCAGAAGCCACCUGGGCACGCAGAGCCUUACCUACCGCUCAAGAAACGGCCGAGUUCUGUCAAAUGCUGUAUACCGGAAGAAUCCAAAGGCUUCAUCAGACGAACACGUUUCAAAGUGCCACUACCCCUUUUUUCCUUAAGAAAUGCAUCAAGCAUCUGAUUUGCUGCUGAUAAAUUCUCUGUCCCCCACUCUCCUCGUGGCACCUUGCUUAGGUAUCUGCCCAGAGGACACCACCUUUUUCUCAGACACGAUGACCAGGAAGAACGUUUCUCAGUUUUUAUAAAAAGCCUGAGUCUCUGCUUUGUUCCGGUGACCACAUGAAGGCUUUCUUCCCAGCUUGUCAGGGAUCGAGGCUGCUUUUUUCAAGUAUUUUAUAAUAAUUAUUUGGCUUUUCACCCUUCUACAUUCUCUCUGGAAUUAAUAAAGUUACCAA